rnacentral:rRNA from 1 species
GAAUAUUGGACAAUGGGCGCAAGCCUGAUCCAGCCAUGCCGCGUGAGUGACGAAGGCCUUAGGGUUGUAAAGCUCUUUUAAUAGGGAAGAUAAUGACGGUACCUAUAGAAUAAGCUCCGGCUAACUUCGUUCCCGCAGCCGCGGUAAUACGAAGGGGGCUAGCGUUGUUCGGAAUUACUGGGCGUAAAGAGUACGUAGGCGGUUUAUUAAGCUAGAUGUGAAAUCCCCGAGCUUAACUCGGGAACUGCAUUUAGAACUGGUAAGCUAGAGAAUGUUAGAGGUUGGUAGAAUUCCUAGUGUAGGGGUGAAAUCCGUAGAUAUUAGGAGGAAUACCGAUGGCGAAGGCAGCCAACUGGGACAUUUCUGACGCUGAGGUACGAAAGCGUGGGUAGCAAACAGG